GUAUAUAACUGAAUCACUUUGCUGUACAGCAGAAAUUAAUACAACAUUGCAACUAUACUACAAUAAAAUUAAAAAAACAAAAAGGAGGCCAAGCUGGCAGAGCUAGGCAAGGUGGAGAGAGACACAAACCUUUAUUUUGCAGCUUCCAAGAUGCUAGUGGGGCCUUCCUUUGGAAGAGUUGAGCGCCCUACCGCAACACUUGUUGAGCUCACAACACUCGGCGAGGCCGCGGGGAACUGCACUGUGAUCCAUGGGAAGCAGAGGCCCUACCCAGCAGCCCCCACGGGAGAGGCGGGGCAGAUCUCUGGAUCCUACCAGGAAAGAGGUGAGGGUGCAAGGAGGCCUGCCGGAAUGAGCUCCACCUGGUCGGCUUUCAGGGAGAAUCAGUGCCCAGAAGAGCCUCCUUUGCUCCAGGUCAGCUGGAACGGCCCAGGUAUGGGUACAGGGAGCGGAAGCUUUGCAUCUUCACUGCAGCACUGAGUCCAUUGGCCUUAGGAGCAGCCCUCCCCUGGGUGGGGACCGUGACGGCAGCGGCACUGUGGUGGACCACUGCUGAAUGAAGUUGUGAUGCGUGGGCACUUGGGUCUCAGUUUCCUGCGCGUAUCUCUGAGCCCUUUCUGGAGAUGACUGCAGAGAUCUCGAAGCUCUCAUUAGCCCUGCUGAAAGCAAAUUGCUCGGAACCCGGGAACACGUGCUGCUCCAUAUCCCGCUUGGGUCCAUGGUCCCGGGGAGGAAAUAUCUUCUGUCUCUUCUGGAAGCCCUUGGAUGACACUAGCUUCACUGCUUGGGAAAGAAAUAAUUGAUCAGUCAUAGGAUAUUGUCAGCUGAGCAGCAGUGACAAAAGAACCAUCCAGACUGUGCAGUUACCUAGGCCUUGGCUCCACCGCCUCUGUACAAACAGCACCACCAGGAGCAGGGACGUUCGCAUAUACAGUAAAAAUGUACAGUAUCUUCAAUGCAAAGUUGGACUGGUGCCAACCCCCUCCCCCUCCCCACCCAGAAGCAUCUUCAUUUGAAUUUAAAGGGGUGGAUGAGUGACAGCAAGACUCUGUUCUCCUUCUGACAGGGCUUUGGCAGAUCAUUGGUUGUCAUCAAACCUAUUCCAUUUCUUGCUCCCUGCCAGGAAUUCCACCUACAUGCCUGAUGGCAAUUAAUCCCUCGUAGGUGCUAAUGAAUAAAACGCAGCAUGUAGACUUCAAGAGGAUGAAAAAGCCUACAAUCCAGAUCCAGAGAGGCACUCCAAGUAUCAGCCCCCCACGCCGGUCGCCCCUCAGAUGUCACUCUCACCCUGGCCAGCAAGUGCUGUGCCAGGGCCAGCCCACCCCUGUGCUGUGCACUUGAGCACAGGGGGUAGGAGGGAGCUGUCCAUGAGGACAUAACUCAGUAGAAAGCAUGAUUUUAGAACCUGAAGUGUUAACCUGUUUUUUGGUCACUGUCACAGACCAUGAUGCUACCAGUUUAAGUCUGUACUGGGGUAUGAGAACUGAAUCUCCAAACCAAAAAUCCUUUAGAAGAAGCAUUUAAAGAUCUGAUUAGAGAGCAGGCUGCAUUGGUGGGGUGGAGACUGUUGUGUUAUCAGUGCUUCCCAUUCUUGCUGAUAAUCAGAUGUCCCUAAGCAGCAUUUAAAAGUAGUUUCCUUGGCCCUGUUUCUGGAGAUUCUCUGCUGGGAGGCCUAGGAUAGAGCCUGAGAAUCUAAAUUUAAAAAAAAAAAAAAAUUUCCCAGGUGAAUCUGAUCUUCAGGCCAGAUUCCAUACUCCAGGAUUAGAUGAACUUCUGUAUCCCAUUUAACUGGAAAACUCCAGGAUUAAGUAUUGAUUGGAAGAUUCUUAAAGAUUAUGCUCACUUUUCAUCUGUACUUUUACUAUGUUUUGUGUUUAAAACGAGCAAGCAAUUAUCUUUCAUAAUGUAACCACCUCUCAGAUAUAAAUCGAUGUUCAAAAAGUUCUUUUAAUUGAAGCUGUAGCUUAUUUUUAAUUUUUAAUACUUUAAUUAGAAUUUCCAAAUUUUAUGUCUUUACUAAAAACUGAACAUGGAUAUUUUUAAUAAUAAAAACUCAACAAAUGUUAUUUUUAAAGACCUUUUUGCAUCCCAAGAGAAGCUAAUCUGUUCACAGAGAAAAUUAUAUUUUAGUACUGUUGGUGUCUUUUAAAUCCUAUGUGUUUUAACCUAUGCAGCUAAAAUAUAUUUACUUAGAAAAGGGGAUUAUAAAUGUCACCAGACUGUCAUUUAGAUAGUCCAGAGGAGUUUCAGGAAAAAAGGUAAGGAUCCCUGAUACACCAAAGACCAGUUUGUUAUUCGUAUUUUACAUGUACAUAAACAUUGUCUUCCUAGGAUCUCAAAACACGUUAUAAGACUAUUGCAGCUAAAGACUCGGAGUAACACAGUCUUGCAAUUUGGUCUCCUCUGAUAGUAGCAAACCAAAGAAAGUGACAAAAAAGGCAUUUUUAUUCUAGUUUUCACGGGCUCCCAAAGUCAAGAUAGUUUGAAUAGGAUUCCCUGGAGCAUUUGAACUCCAUCAUGUUUAUCAGAGAGAGAACUUAAUCCAAACCCUUUGAGGUUUGUUCUUCUCCAGUCAAUAUCUAUUACAGCCAAACAAUCAUGGUUCUAAAGUAUAACAGUGAAGCGAGGAAGAAAAGAGAGAUUUUUCUUUCUGAUAGCGAAAUGGGCAGGUGCAUUGGAACUGAAAGGCCAUAAUU
ensembl:lncRNA